rnacentral:lncRNA from 1 species
UUCUUUUAUAAAUCCACAAUAAAGAACAAUAAUUGGCUACUCAAAGAUGAAUAGGAACACCUAUUCCAAAUUUCUCAAAAUUGUUCGUUGUCAAUUUAUAGAACUUCGUUUUUGUAAUCAGAACAGUUCAUAUUAUAAAUCACCCUAUAAAGAUUGCCUUCGCAAAAAAUCAAUUAAAACUAAGAUCAUUUAUUCAUCAAACUGUUUAAAAACAAAUGAAUGCUAUUGGUAAAAGCAUUAUGAGCCGUCUAUGCAUUUGCUACAAUAAAUUGACUAAACGACCUUACUUUUAAUUUAUUUUUUGCAGAGAUGAUAUUUACAGUGUGAUUCAUAGUAUGAACGGUUCUGAUCAUAAGCACAAAACUAUGUGAUUAAAACACUAAGAGUUUUAAGUAAGAGUUCCUACUCAUCUUUGAGUAGCCAAAUAUUGUUCCACACUAAAUCUCACUUGUCCAUGGUUAUUAGCAUCUCGCGCAAAGUGAAAGUAUAUAUAUAAUACACAACAUACAUGGUAGGUUAAUAUGAUACAAAUAAAACCCUAAUUUCACUUUUGCCCUAGUUAGCCUGUGCUCACAUGUGAAAUCCGUUCAACUUAUCAAAGAGGGCCACGUAGCAUUUGGAGGACGUCUAAAUGGAUGUUGAUUUCAAACGCCUUAGAAAAUACUGUGACAAGAAAAGUAGUCUCCAAGGAUAAGAAGAUGACAAGAAAAUAUGAAAGAGAGGGACGUACGUUUUAGAAUUUCACAAGUGAGAGCUGUCAAAAAUAUUACCUCUUUGAGUUUGUGCAAAACACCACCAUGGCACCGCAAAGACAGCAGAGAAAGAAAGAAAAAGAGGUUAAAAACGCAUUGGAAGAAAAAGAAAAAGGAAGGGGAAGAAGAAUAUAUGAAGAAGAGAAAGAAAAGUUUGUAUAGUGAGGAUCUUUCAGUGCCAUCAAUUCACUUAAUUGUGUUUGGACUGUCAUCCAUUUACUCCAUCACUUUCCCUACACAUUUUGCACCCACUUUCCCUUACAUGUACACGACCAUUUUGUCACCAUGCGAUCAUGUUCUCCUUCAUUACCCCCUCUCAACUUUCGAAUUUAUAAUACAAGUAACACAAGUCAUGUUAUGUGUCAUUUCAUGUAUUAUAAUAUGGGUGAAGGAAUGACUUGACAUAUCUCAUUUUUAAAGUAUAUUUAUAUUAAAUAAAUAAAUUCACAAGUUGUAAUUUAAGUAAAAUAAUAUCGUUACGUGACUAUGUUUCGAACAUCAAAAAAUUACUUCACAACCUUCUUUCUUUCCCGAAAGAAAAAUUUUAAAUUGAAAAGAGAAAAGGAUGAUGAAAAAGAAAGGGGAAUGAAACUGUAGAACAUAAAGUCAUGGUCUCAGUCUAUAAAGAUGUCCCAUCUAAAUCUAGUUGGGAAUAUAUUUCAAUCCAAAUAAUGAU